GACGAACGCUGGCGGCGUGCUUAACACAUGCAAGUCGAGCGGUAAAGCCCUUUCGGGGGUACACGAGCGGCGAACGGGUGAGUAACACGUGGGUGACCUGCCCUCAGCUCUGGGAUAAGCCUGGGAAACCGGGUCUAAUACUGGAUAUGACUCCAUGACGCAUGUUGUGGGGUGGAAAGCCUUGUGCGGCUGAGGAUGGGCCCGCGGCCUAUCAGCUUGUUGGUGGGGUGANGGCCUACCAAGGCGACGACGGGUAGCCGGCCUGAGAGGGCGACCGGCCACACUGGGACUGAGACACGGCCCAGACUCCUACGGGAGGCAGCAGUGGGGAAUCUUGCGCAAUGGGCGAAAGCCUGACGCAGCGACGCCGCGUGAGGGAUGACGGCCU
rnacentral:rRNA from 1 species